rnacentral:rRNA from 1 species
UACGUAGGGUGCGAGCGUUGUCCGGAAUUAUUGGGCGUAAAGAGCUUGUAGGCGGUUUGUCGCGUCUGCCGUGAAAAUUCGAGGCUCAACCUCGAACUUGCGGUGGGUACGGGCAGACUAGAGUGUGGUAGGGGAGACUGGAAUUCCUGGUGUAGCGGUGAAAUGCGCAGAUAUCAGGAGGAACACCGAUGGCGAAAGCGAGGUCCUGGACGCCUACUGACGCUGAGACGCGAAAGCCAGGGGAGCGAACGGG